GAUGAACGCUGGCGGCGUGCCUAAUACAUGCAAGUCGAGCGAACGGACGAGAAGCUUGCUUUUCUGAUGUUAGCGGCGGACGGGUGAGUAACACGUGGAUAACCUACCUAUAAGACUGGGAUAACUUCGGGAAACCGGAGCUAAUACCGGAUAAUAUUUUGAACCGCAUGGUUCAAAAGUGAAAGACGGUCUUGCUGUCACUUAUAGAUGGAUCCGCGCUGCAUUAGCUAGUUGGUAAGGUAACGGCUUACCAAGGCAACGAUGCAUAGCCGACCUGAGAGGGUGAUCGGCCACACUGGAACUGAGACACGGUCCAGACUCCUACGGGAGGCAGCAGUAGGGAAUCUUCCGCAAUGGGCGAAAGCCUGACGGACCAACGCCGCGUGAGUGAUGAACGUCUUCUGAUCGUAAAACUCUGUUAUUAGGGAAGAACAUAUGUGUAAGUAACUGUGCACAUCUUGACCGUACCUUAUCAGAAAGCCACGGCUUACUACGUGCCACCACCCGCGGAAAUACGUAAGUGGCAAGCGUUAUCCGGAAUUAUUGGGCGUCAAGCGCGCGUAGGCGGUUUUUUAAGUCUGAUGUGAAAGCCCACGGCUCAACCGUGGAGGGUCAUUGGAAACUGGAAAACUUGAGUGCAGAAGAGGAAAGUGGAAUUCCAUGUGUAGCGGUGAAAUGCGCAGAGAUGUGGAGGAACACCAGUGGCGAAGGCGACUUUCUGGUCUGUAACUGACGCUGAUGUGCGAAAGCGUGGGGAUCAAACAGGAUUAGAUACCCUGGUAGUCCACGCCGUAAACGAUGAGUGCUAAGUGUUAGGGGGUUUCCGCCCCUUAGUGCUGCAGCUAACGCAUUAAGCACUCCGCCUGGGGAGUACGACCGCAAGGUUGAAACUCAAAGGAAUUGACGGGGGCCCGCACAAGCGGUGGAGCAUGUGGUUUAAUUCGAAGCAACGCGAAGAACCUUACCAAAUCUUGACAUCCUUUGACAACUCUAGAGAUAGAGCCUUCCCCUUCGGGGGACAAAGUGACAGGUGGUGCAUGGUUGUCGUCAGCUCGUGUCGUGAGAUGUUGGGUUAAGUCCCGCAACGAGCGCAACCCUUAAGCUUAGUUGCCAUCAUUAAGUUGGGCACUCUAAGUUGACUGCCGGUGACAAACCGGAGGAAGGUGGGGAUGACGUCAAAUCAUCAUGCCCCUUAUGAUUUGGGCUACACACGUGCUACAAUGGACAAUACAAAGGGCAGCGAAACCGCGAGGUCAAGCAAAUCCCAUAAAGUUGUUCUCAGUUCGGAUUGUAGUCUGCAACUCGACUACACGAAGCUGGAAUCGCUAGUAAUCGUAGAUCAGCAUGCUACGGUGAAUACGUUCCCGGGUCU
rnacentral:rRNA from 1 species